CAGCAAUGACAGAGAAUGAAUUUUUGUGUGCUGGAAAUCUUAUGGCUGCCUCCAUUUUGCAAGGUGGUCCGCCACCAUGCAUUUUAAAACCUUGGGUUUAUGACUAUGUGGUUUCAAGUCUGUGUGAAUAGUUCAAACUCACUUUAGAUGAUUUAACAGCAUCAGAAAUCAAAACUUUUUUAGAAAAGGUACUUUAAAAUUGAUGGCACUGAUAUAUCACAAGGAAGAAAUAGGCACAUAAAGACGUAUAUCAGAGGCAGAGGUGUCAAGUGUUGUAGUACAUGAUGUACCAACUGUUUCGGUGGAAGAUGAACCACAUUCACAUAAUGAAAAAGCAGAUGGAAAAGACACAGAAAUGAAAUAUUUCUGCUGUCAAACACCUUCCUCACUUUCAAAUGACACACCUAGAAAAAAAUUCAAAGGAGAAAGCUGAAAGUAAAGCAGCAAGUAAUUGCAAGGCUUAAUACAAAAGUUAGAAAAUUUGCCAAAAAGGACACAUCAACCAGUCAAUUUAUGCUGAAGUGAAAAAAUUACCAAAUCAACUGGCUAAUUUCAAAGAAUUGCAACUGAAGUUACAUUAAACAAAAAAACAUGGAAGAAGGUACUCACCAGAAAUGAAGUCCUUAGCAGUUUCAUUGUAUCAUACUAGUGGCAAAGCGUAUAGCCUCCUCUCCAAGCUGUUUAUUCUGCCAACAAAGUCUUCAAUUAGACGGUUUGUUUCACGAAUUCCAAUAGCAGCUGGUAUUCCUCAGGCAACCUUAAAUCUUUUGAAAGAAAAAGUGUGUUACAUGAAUGAUAUGGAAAAGCUGUGCACUCUUCGUGUUGAUGAGAUGUCAUUAAAAACACACCUUUACUACAACAUCACAGACGAUAAGAUUGUUGGAGUAGAGGACUUUAGUGGAUAUCGAACAAAAAAUUGGCAACAUCAGGUCUUGUAUUCAUGCUUCGAAGCAUAUCUGGAGGUUGG